ACUCCUACGGGAGGCAGCAGUGGGGAAUAUUGCACAAUGGGCGCAAGCCUGAUGCAGCCAUGCCGCGUGUGUGAAGAAGGCCCUUCGGGUUGUAAAGCACUUUCAGUCGUGAGGAAGGUAGUGUAGUUAAUAGCUGCAUUAUUUGACGUUAGCGACAGAAGAAGCACCGGCUAACUCCGUGCCAGCAGCCGCGGUAAUACGGAGGGUGCGAGCGUUAAUCGGAUUACUGGGCGUAAAGCGCAUGCAGGUGGUUUGUUAAGUCAGAUGUGAAAGCCCGGGGCUCAACCUCGGAAUUGCAUUUGAAACUGGCAGACUAGAGUACUGUAGAGGGGGGUAGAAUUUCAGGUGUAGCGGUGAAAUGCGUAGAGAUCUGAAGGAAUACCGGUGGCGAAGGCGGCCCCCUGGACAGAUACUGACACUCAGAUGCGAAAGCGUGGGGAGCAAACAGGAUUAGAUACCCUGGUAGGAUAGCG
rnacentral:rRNA from 1 species